rnacentral:rRNA from 1 species
AUUGAACGCUGGCGGCAGGCCUAACACAUGCAAGUCGAGCGGCAGCACGGGUACUUGUACCUGCUGGCGAGCGGCGGACGGGUGAGUAAUGCCUAGGAAUCUGCCUGGUAGUGGGGGAUAACGUCCGGAAACGGGCGCUAAUACCGCAUACGGCCGACGGGAGAAAGUGGGGGAUCUUCUGACCUCACGCUAUUAGAUGAGCCUAGGUCGGAUUAGCUAGUUGUUGAGGUAAUGGCUCACCAAGGCGACGAUCCGUAACUGGUCUGAGAGGAUGAUCAGUCACACUGGACCUGAGACACGGUCCAGACUCCUACGGGAGGCAGCAGUGGGGAAUAUUGGACAAUGGGCGAAAGCCUGAUCCAGCCAUGCCGCGUGUGUGAAGAAGGUCUUCGGAUUGUAAAGCACUUUAAGUUGGGAGGAAGGGCAGUUACCUAAUACGUGAUUGUUUUGACGUUACCGACAGAAUAAGCACCGGCUAACUCUGUGCCAGCCGCCGCGGUAA